UAGGGAAUAUUGCACAAUGGGGGAAACCCUGAUGCAGCGACGCCGCGUGAAGGAAGAAGUAUUUCGGUAUGUAAACUUCUAUCAGCAAGGAAGAAAAUGACGGUACUUGACUAAGAAGCCCCGGCUAAAUACGUGCCAGCAGCCGCGGUAAUACGUAUGGGGCAAGCGUUAUCCGGAUUUACUGGGUGUAAAGGGAGCGUAGGCGGCAUGGCAAGUCAGAAGUGAAAGCCUGGGGCUCAACCCCGGAAUUGCUUUUGAAACUGUCAGGCUAGAGUGUCGGAGGGGUAAGCGGAAUUCCUAGUGUAGCGGUGAAAUGCGUAGAUAUUAGGAGGAACACCGGUGGCGAAGGCGGCUUACUGGACGAUUACUGACGCUGAGGCUCGAAAGCGUGGGGAGCAAACAGG
rnacentral:rRNA from 1 species